rnacentral:rRNA from 1 species
UACAGAGGGUGCGAGCGUUAAUCGGAAUCACUGGGCGUAAAGCGCACGUAGGCGGGUCGCUAAGUCAGGGGUGAAAUCCUGGAGCUCAACUCCAGAACUGCCCUUGAUACUGGCGAUCUCGAGUUCGGGAGAGGUGAGUGGAACUGCGAGUGUAGAGGUGAAAUUCGUAGAUAUUCGCAAGAACACCAGUGGCGAAGGCGGCAUCCUGGACCGGUAUUGACGCUGAGGCGCGAAAGCUAGGGGAGCAAACGGG